rnacentral:lncRNA from 1 species
CCUUUAACACGUUUCCAAUCACAACAAAAGCUAUAUAAGUAAUAGGUAGUGACCGAUGGAAGCCAGCAAUCCACCUAAGUCAGGUAAGCAGAUGUUGUUAGAAUCUUGGAUUGCUUCCCGUCUUGUUUCUCAACUUCUUCUUUUAUAACCUCUUCCUCGUCCUUUUUAGCCUCAUUUUUCUCUACCAUUUCAGCUUCCUUCAUACUGAUGAACUCGAUGAGACUUUGAAGAACAACUUGAGGCUCGUCACGUUUCAUAAGCUGCUGUGCGACUUCUGCUGGGGUAAUAACAGGACUUUGAAGGAGAUCUUCGAUGCAUUUGAAAAGGACAUGCUCUUUAAUUCCAAGAUAUGUAAAGGCAAGCUUCCUGAAUGCUGCAGGAGUACAAUGGCCCAUGUAAAUAUGAACAUCCAUUCGUCCUGGUCGCAACAAUGCUGGGUCCAACUUCUCUUUGUAAUUUGUCGUGAAAAUGAUUAUUCUUUCAUCCCCGCAGCUUGACCAUAGCCCGUCAAUGAAGUUCAACAAACCAGAUAAGGUCACCUGUGAGAAGAUUUAAAGAGAAAUAUGGAAUAUGGAAUUGGAAAACUAGGAGACAAUAAGGCAUCGCCUUGAUUAAUGAAUGUUUUCCUUCCAAAUCAAUUCUAGUUUUUUUUUUUUUUUUAAAUAUCAUUUUUGGUGACUUUACAUAAGCAUAACAUGAUGUUAUUUAUGAAGUCUAAUCAGUAAGGAUUGCUGUUAAGUUCCGAAUAAAAUAAACAGGGGACAUUAAUUCUUUCAGGACUCACUUACCCCAGGAUCAAAAGAAAGCUUAUUAUCAAGUUGAUCACCCCCCUCAUCAUCAUCAUCAUCUUGUUCUUCUUUUGGAUUCUUAUUUCGAUCGCGAGAACGUGAAGAUUUUGUACCGCAGUCAAUGUCCUCAAUGAGAAGAAUGGAACGAUUGGUGGUGGAGGUGAGUAUCCUCCUCAGUUGAGCAUCAUUCCUUACACCUUGAAGCUGGAGAUCAUAGAUGUUGAAUCUGGAGAUAGUUUGCAAUGGCAGCGACGAGGGUGGAUUUUCCAGUCCCUGGUGGACCGUAGAGAAGGUACCCUCUUUUCCAAGCUCUACCAACACUCUGAAAGUAGUCCUUUCUUUGCACGAACAAGUCGAGAUCUUCAAUUAUGAACUUCUUCAGGUCAGGGUCCAUUGCCAGAGUGUCAAAGGUAGCUGGAUGCUUGAACACAGUAGAUUCCCACAUAGAAUCCUCAUUAUCAUAAGUAUAGAUAUUGAGGGUCUCUCUGUUGUUCAAGAUUGCAGCUGCAGUCUUGCUAAUGUGUGGCAAGUAGCUUUGCAUGACUUGUUCUCUAUAAUUAUUUUUGCAUUUCAAUUGGAAGUAUUUUUUUUGCUGAUGGUAAUACUUGUUGCCUUCUUUCUCACAGAGAGUCCAUUCAAAAUGCAUACCUUGGAAAAAAUCAACAACUUUAGCAUCAACAGGAAUCCCUGGUUUUGGUGGGGCAAAGAUGUUGUUGGUAUCAUUGGUGCCUAAGAGAAGGCUUUUAGGAAGGGCCAACUUUGGUUGGAAGAUAGACCUCAACAGCUCGAAAGGUUUCAUUCUCCACAGCUUGCCAUCGGUCUUCAAUGAUGAAGGUGAAGUCUGAGGAGAAGUAGGAGCAAAGAAAUCUGAAAAGCUUUAGCUAUCAGUCACGCAUACCCCUUGGAAUCAUUUCAUUCAAUAUGGUGCGGAUUAGCAUGGAUAAACCAGAUAUGGAUGCGUAUAUAGAGAGGAUUGUGCUCAUGGAGGGCAAUUCCUUCAAGAGAGAAGCCAUUUCAGAUUUCGAAAAGCAAGCAAAGAACGAUGGAGGAGAGUAUGUGCAGAGAGAAGGCGAAGCUUGGUCACUUGUAUGGGAUGAGCAAGGUUAUUUAUAGACCAAAGAGGGAAUGGAAUUAUUGUUUGGAAUUGUCCACGAAAAUUAGCUCGAAUUUCUUUGGUUUGUAAACGCGUGAUAAGAUGGAAAAGAUAUCUCCCGUCUACAGCUAGCGGAGAGAGCACUGCUGUGCUUUGUUUGGAGAAACCUCAUAGAAUGUGCUUUGUUUAGAGAAACCUCAUAGAAUGUGCUAGGAAAGGAACAAUACAGAAAACGCUCAUUGAAAAAGGGUACUUAACUGAAGAUGAAGAAGCAGUGCAGACAUCUUAUGGUCACCUCAUUCACACUUGAAUAAUGAGAAGGGUGGGAAAUGGGCAAGAACCUUCCCUUCCUUUCCAGAUAAGCUCGAGGGAAUUGAACGGAAAUUGCCAUAUCUCCCCUUUCAUAAGGUCUUAUUAGCUGUAAUCUUGCAGUUUAAACCAUAUUUCAGAUAAUAAAGUGCAGGAAUAUACCUUCUGCCACCAUUAACCUCUUCCACUCGGGCUUCUUUAGUAAUGGAACACAGCAUCCGCCCCCCCCCCCCCCUAUUCGCAUUUAAAAUUUAAUUUAAUUUUUUUUUGUAAAAUAACAAAGCCCACAAAGUAUAACAAAAUCAUGAUUGAAAAAUAUGAAUUAAAUAAAUAUGGCGUUUCUUAAUAUGAAUCACAACAGGCUAAAACUGUACUAUUCCACGUAUGAGCAUAGAAAUUCCAUAAAAGACGACAUUAAUUUAGCCGAGAAGUCAGAAGACUUUCUUCAAGAACAAGACAUCUUUGGAACCAUGAGAUUACCUCUUCCCUAGCAGAUGCCACUCAUUCUCGUACAAAUACACAAGCUCUUAACGUCUAGAUAAAUACACCUCUAUGAAAGGUGUCAAUGCAUUUCCGAUGCUAUUUAUUUCUGAAUCUCUCCUGGUAAGAACGAAGAAAAUCAUGGAUCUCAAUCACACAUAGAUGAGACAUUAAACGGAUGAAAAUGAACAAGAAAGUACAACUUCAGUCCUUUCCCUCGCUCAAAGACCUUUGCACUGUUACAGGUAGAAGAAGAAGAAAUUGAAUAAAAGGAACUACGGCAGGCCACGUAUUCAAAAGUUAGUUAUCCUUACACACGCGAGCCACGCAUUCAAAAGUUAAUUAUAGAAGUCAUACGCGUCGUUUCAUUUAAAUAACCAUACGCACCGUUUCAAUUCCAUAAAACAGCUGCAUGGCAGUUAGCACACAGCCUGCGUGCUGAAGGUUUUCAUAACCAAUUAGCAUUGCAAUAUUCUAUAUAAAGGCAUAUGCAUGAUAACAGGAAAAAAAAAACAAGAAUUAUAAUGAAAGAUUGAAUUCCUUAUUAUCAGGUAACAAAUAUCAGUGUGUUGUUGGUGUGGUAUCAACAACUUCCGAAAAUCCUCUCUAUCAAAUCCUAUUACAGCAUUAACCAUCACUGGAGACCAUCCAAUUUGGUUCCAUCAUUUCUUCAUCCCUACAAAAUACAAGCCAUUCAGGAAUGGCUAAUGCCUACAGGAUUAAAAUAACUAUGGGGGGUUUUGGGGUUGACUGGUUACUAUAGAAGAUUUGUCAAGGGCUAUGGUAGCAUUUGCAAACCACUCACUCAAUUACUCAAGAAAGAGGCCAAAGGCUGGAAUGAAGCGGCCACCACAACUUUCAAUCAGUUGAAAACAAUUAUGACUAGUGCUCCAGUACUAGCUCUACCAGAUUUCAACAAAACGUUCAUCGUGGAGACAGAUGCAUCCAUAAUUGGUGUGGGAGCAAUACUUAUGCAAGAUGGACACCCCAUUGCAUUCAUUAGCAAAUCUUUGGGUCCUAAACAAUAAGUAAUGUCAGUAUACGAGUGGGAAAUGCUGGUCAUUCUCCAGGCAGUCACCAAAUGGAAGCAUUAUCUCUGGGGACGCCAUUUUAUCAUCAAAACAAACCACAUAAGUUUGAAAUAUCUUCUACAGCAGAAGCUGACUACCCCUGCACAACACGUAUGGUUGGUGAAGUUAUUGGGGUACGACUACGAUAUAGAAUACAAGCAAGGCCGCGAAAAUGUUCCUGCAGAUGCCCUUUCCAGAAUUCCUAACAAAGAGGUAUAUGCUCUGACCACUUCACCAUUUCCACUGACAUCCUGGCAUAAAUCAAGAAUUCCUAUGAAGAUGACGUUACAGUUCAAGGAAUUAUUAAACAGUUACAAGAGUCUACUAACACCCAUCCACACUACACUUGGGUAAAUGAUCACCUUAACAGAAAAGGGAAGGUGGUAGUAGGGAAGAAUCCUGCAUACAGAACAAGCUCAUUUCCAUGUUUCAUAGUUUAGCUGUUGGAGGACACUCGGGCAUGACAAUAACAGCUAAAAAAAUUAGGGGGUUAUUUUAUUGGAAGGGUCAGCAGAAACACAUCAGGCAAUUCGUCAGGAAUGCAAUGUGUGCCAGAGGAAAUAAACAUGAAACACAGCCAGUCCCUGGACUCCUUCAACCAUUACCCAUUCCUUCAGCUCCAUUCAUCGACAUCAACAUGGAUUUCAUUGAAGGCUUCCCAAAUCUGAAGGGAGGAGGUGAUAUUAGUGGUGGUGAUCGUUUCAGCAAAUACGCACACUACAUGGCUCUCAGUCAUCCUUACUCUGCCUCAGGGGUGGCCAAACCUUUAUGAACAAUGUCUAUAAACUACACGGAUUACCAACCUCGAUAACCAGCGACAGAGAUCCAGUCUUUUUGAGCAGGUUUUGAAAAGAAUUAUUCACUAGUCAAGGGGUCAACCUUAACUAUUCCUCAGCCUACCACCCACAGACAGACGACCAAACUGAAAUUGUUAACAAAUGCAUCGAACAAUAGUUACGCUGCAUGACUGGUGAUUGCCCGAACCAGUGGGUCAAGUGGUUACCUUUGGCUGAAUGGUGGUACAAUACCAACUACCACUCAGCCACCAAAUGACACCUUAUCAAGUUUUAUAUGGAGUUGUUCCACCCCUACACAUUCCCUAUUUCCCUAAAGAUUCAGCUGUGGAAUCAGUUGAUAAGUACUUAUCAGCUAAAGAAGAAGUCAUCAAGAGGGUCAGGGAACAUCUCCAAGCAGCACAGAACAUGAUGAUUAUGGUGGCUAACAAGAAAAGGAGUGAUCGCAGUUUUGAGAUUAAUGACUAUGUCUUCCUCAAAAUCCAACCAUACAGGCAACAUUCAUUGGUGUAGGUCCUCACAGAAGUUAGCAACAAAAUAUUAUGGGCCUUAUCGGGUAUUGGCUAAGAUAGGAAAGGUGGCUUACAAGCUGGAAUUGCCAGUUUCAACACUUAUUCAUCCAGUGUUCCAUGUUUCUCAGCUUAAAAAACAUAUUGGAAAUCACACAAUACAAGGCACUCCUCCGAUGAUACCAAAAACAGCUGCUCUACAGCCUCGUACAGUGUUAGACCGAAGAAUGGUGAAACUUCACAAUCAAGCACACACUCAAGUAUUGAUACUCUAGGAAGGACUAGCUCUUACUAAGGCUACUUGGGAAGACCUGGAGGAGAUUCAGCUGCGCUUUCAACUUUUCAACCUUGAGGACAAGCUUGGUUUCAAGGGGAGGCAAUUGUUACAGGCAGAAGAAGAAGAAAUGGAAUAAAAGAACUAAGGCAGGCCACGCAUUUAAAAGUUAGUUAUCCUUACACACGUGAGCCACACAUUCAAAAGUUAGUUAUAGAAGCCAUAUGCACCAUUUCAUUUAAGUAACCAUACACACCGUUUCAAUUCCAUAAAACAGUUGCAUGGCAGUUAGCACACAGCCUGCGUGCUGAAGGUUUUCAUAACCAAUUAGCAUUGCAAUAUUCUAUAUAAAGGAAUAUGCAUGAUAACAGGGAAAAAAAAACAAGAAUUAUAAUGAAAGAUUGAAUUCCUUAUUAUCAGGUAACAAAUAUCAGUGUGUUGUUGGUGUGGUAUCAACAACUUCCAAAAAUCCUCUCUAUCAAAUCCUAUUACAGCAUUAACCAUAACUGGAGACCAUCCAAUUUGGUUCCAUCAUUUCUUCACCCUUAACACAUAAGCUAAAAAAGGAUCCAAAGAAAGUUGCACAAAGUUCAAGAACAUAUGAGAAGUAGCAAGAUUUUUUCAUUGCCUUGUAUUUUCCCUUAUCAACAUAUAUUAUAAAUCUAAAUUUCUCUUUGAAGUUUAGUAGUAAUACUCUUUCACAAACUAAUUGGCAAACAAAAUCUUUAAAUAGAAUUUUGGGUAAUUUAAUUCCUUCAAACAUAGUGCUAUUGAUAUCAUUUAAGAUUUUAAUUAUUUAUUUUCUAAUUAAUGUUAAGACUUUAAUUAUUUGUUAGCCUAGGAUUUUUAAUUUAAUUAAUAUUUUACUAUUUAAAAAUUCUAAUGUUGGAUGGAAUCAAUUAAUUAAAUAAAUUUUAAUUAUGAAUCUUUUUAUAUAAAAAAAAUUAGAACUAUUAUAAAUAAGGGAUGUUUAAUUUAUUUUUGAGAGAUUAAGAUUAUAAUUUAAAUUUUUAUAAAAUACCAAGAAAGUUUUCUAAAUUUUUCAACAACUUAGGUCAUGAAAUUAUAAUAACCCUAUAAAAAACAAAUCAAAAUAAAACAUGAAGACCAAUUCAUAAUCAAUUCAAUCUUGAUAGAAAAUUUUGAAAAUAAUAUUAAAUUAAAAAAAGACAAAAAAAACUACUUGGAUCAACCUGUCAAACUUGUAACUCAAGUCAUGAGAUUUGGAUAAUCCUAUAAAAAGCAUAUAAAAAAAUAUGUGAAACUAAAUUUCCAACCAAACCAAUAUUGAAGAAUGAAAAGAAAAAAAAAGAAAUAACUCAAGUCAACCCAGACUAACCUGUUAGACUAUCCCGCUGAAUCAUGAGAUAUUGAUAACUUUAUAAAAUAAAAAUAAAUAAAUAUUAUAAAAAUUUAUUUUCAAUAGAUUUAAUGUUGAAUAUGUUAGUACGGGGAUAACUUUAUAACUUGAGUUUAUAUAUUAUUAUCAAUAUUUUUCAAAUAUUGAAAAUUCAUUAAUUUUGUGAAAUCUAAUGUUAAAAAAGGAAGGACAUUCCUCCAUAAAUAACGGAUAGCUAAUAUAUGUUUGAGGAAUGAAUGCCUGAUUAACACUUCUUUUAAAUUUCAAGGUGUCAAAUAACCAUUUCAUCAGUUUUGGUUGGUUUAAUGGAUGGAGAUAGACAGAAGGGAGGAUGGGGGAAACGAAUAAUCCUAAUUCGAAAAUAAUAUGUAAUAUUAUUUUAAAAAGUGUUUUUUUUGUAAUGUAGUGUAAUAUUAUUUUUAAAGUGUUUUUUAAAUUGUAAUUUAUUGAAAUUUUUUUUUUUUUUUUAUAUUAGUAAAUUAAAACUACUAAAAAUUAACUAAAAAUAUCAAUGUAAUAUUUUUAAGAUAAAAAAUAUUUUGAAAAACAUAGAUAUAACAAUAAAAACAAAUAAUUUUAAUGUAGUUAAAUAUAAGCAAGAGGAAGAAUUGAAAUUUGAAACCCCAAUGAAAGUUUGAGGGGGUAAUUUAUACAAACGAGAGAAAUCAAUUUAUUAAGAUUUAGUAGAUUAAUUGAAUAGAUUAUUUUUUUUUACAAAAUUUAACAUUAAAAACCCUUUAACACGUUUCCAAUCACAACAAAAGCUAUAUAAGUAAUAGGUAGUGACCUAUGGAAGCCAGCAAUCCACCUAAGUCAGGUAAGCAGAUGUUGUUAGAAUCUUGGAUUGCUUCUCGUCCUGUUUCUCAACUUCUUCUUUUACAACCUCUUCCUCGUCCUUUUUAGCCUCAUUUUUCUCUACCAUUUCAGCUUCCUUCAUAGUGAUGAACUCGAUGAGACUUUGAAG